rnacentral:rRNA from 1 species
AACGUAGGUUCCGAGCGUUAUCCGGAUUUACUGGGCGUAAAGCGCGUUCAGGCGGUUUGGCAAGUCGGGCAUGAAAUCUCUCGGCUCAACCGGGAGAGGUUGUCCGAUACUUCCAGACUUGAGGGCAGUAGAGGGUGGUGGAAUUCCGGGUGUAGUGGUGAAAUGCGUAGAUAUCCGGAGGAACACCGGUGGCGAAAGCGGCCACCUGGACUGCACCUGACGCUGACACGCGAAAGCUAGGGGAGCGAACGGG